AGAAUCAACGCUGGCGGCGUGCCUCAGACAUGCAAGUCGAACGCGAAAGUCCCCUUCGGGGGACAAGUAGAGUGGCGCACGGGUGAGUAACACGUAGGUAAUCUACCUUCGGAUGGGGAAUAACAACCGGAAACGGUUGCUAAUACCGCAUAAUGCAGCGGCACCUAAUGGUGACAGUUGUUAAAGCGGGGGAUCGAAAGACCUCGCGUCUGAAGAGGAGCCUGCGGCGGAUUAGCUAGUUGGUAAGGUAAUGGCUUACCAAGGCAACGAUCCC
rnacentral:rRNA from 1 species